rnacentral:rRNA from 1 species
AUUAGCUAGUUGGUGGGGUAAUGGCCUACCAAGGCGAUGAUGGGUAGCGGGUGUGAGAGCACGACCCGCGUCAUUGGGACUGAGACACUGCCCAGACUCCUACGGGAGGCAGCAGUGGGGAAUAUUGCACAAUGGAGGAAACUCUGAUGCAGCGACGCCGCGUGAGGGAAGAAGGUCUUCGGAUUGUAAACCUCUGUCUUCAGGGACGAUAAUGACGGUACCUGAGGAGGAAGCACCGGCUAACUACGUGCCAGCAGCCGCGGUAAAACGUAGGGUGCAAGCGUUGUCCGGAAUUACUGGGUGUAAAGGGAGCGCAGGCGGGAAGGUAAGUUGGAUGUUUAAUCUACGGGCUCAACCCGUAUCAGCAUUCAAAACUAUUUUUCUUGAGUAGUGCAGAGGUAGGCGGAAUUCCCGGGGUAGCGGUGGAAUGCGUAGAUAUCGGGAGGAACACCAGUGGCGAAGGCGGCCUACUGGGCACUAACUGACGCUGAGGCUCGAAAGCAUGGGUAGCAAACAGGAUUAGAUACCCUGGUAGUCCAUGCCGUAAACGAUGAUUACUAGGUGUGGGAGGAUUGACCCCUUCCGUGCCGCAGUUAACACAAUAAGUAAUCCACCUGGGGAGUACGACCGCAAGGUUGAA